GACAGCAGCAGCCGCGGUAAUACGUAGGUCCCGAGCGUUGUCCGGAUUUAUUGGGCGUAAAGCGAGCGCAGGCGGUUAGAUAAGUCUGAAGUUAAAGGCUGUGGCUUAACCAUAGUACGCUUUGGAAACUGUUUAACUUGAGUGCAAGAGGGGAGAGUGGAAUUCCAUGUGUAGCGGUGAAAUGCGUAGAUAUAUGGAGGAACACCGGUGGCGAAAGCGGCUCUCUGGCUUGCAACUGACGCUGAGGCUCGAAAGCGUGGGGAGCAAACAGGAUUAGAUACCCCCGUAGUCCCUGUCUCUUAUACA
rnacentral:rRNA from 1 species